rnacentral:rRNA from 1 species
GAUGAACGCUGGCGGCGUGCCUAACACAUGCAAGUCGAGCGAUUCUCUUCGGAGAAGAGCGGCGGACGGGUGAGUAACGCGUGGGUAACCUGCCCUGUACACACGGAUAACAUACCGAAAGGUAUGCUAAUACGAGAUAAUAUGCUUUUAUCGCAUGGUAGAAGUAUCAAAGCUUUUGCGGUACAGGAUGGACCCGCGUCUGAUUAGCUAGUUGGUAAGGUAACGGCUUACCAAGGCGACGAUCAGUAGCCGACCUGAGAGGGUGAUCGGCCACAUUGGAACUGAGACACGGUCCAAACUCCUACGGGAGGCAGCAGUGGGGAAUAUUGCACAAUGGGCGAAAGCCUGAUGCAGCAACGCCGCGUGAGCGAUGAAGGCCUUCGGGUCGUAAAGCUCUGUCCUCAAGGAAGAGUAAUGACGGUACUUGAGGAGGAAGCCCGGCUAACUACGUGCCAGC